rnacentral:rRNA from 1 species
AUUGAACGCUGGCGGCAGGCCUAACACAUGCAAGUCGAACGGUAACAGGGAUCAGCUUGCUGAUUCGCUGACGAGUGGCGGACGGGUGAGUAAUGUCUGGGAAACUGCCUGAUGGAGGGGGAUAACUACUGGAAACGGUAGCUAAUACCGCAUAACGUCGCAAGGCCAAAGAGGGGGACCUUCGGGCCCCUCGCCAUCGGAUGUGCCCAGAUGGGAUUAGCUAGUAGGUGGGGUAACGGCUCACCUAGGCGACGAUCCCUAGCUGGUCUGAGAGGAUGACCAGCCACACUGGAACUGGGACACGGUCCAGACUCCUACGGGAGGCAGCAGUGGGGAAUAUUGCACAAUGGGCGGAAGCCUGAUGCAGCCAUGCCGCGUGUAUGAAGAAGGCCUUCGGGUUGUAAAGUACUUUCAGCGGGGAGGAAGGGAGUAAAGUUAAUACCUUUGCUCAUUGACGUUACCCGCAGAAGAAGCACCGGCUAACUCCGUG